GGUAUCCGUAGGUCCGGGGCACUUUUUUUUUUGGUGUGUGUGUGUGUGCGUGCGCGCGUGUGUGUGUGUUGGGUGUGUGUGUUUUGGGGGUUUGCCGGGGCGCGGAGAGGAGAGCCGGGCCGAGGGGAAGGAAGGAAGCCGUAGAGCUCCCCGGUCUCGGGCUGCGUCUCCCCUCCAGCGCUCUCCUGCCUGUGCGCUCCGACGCGGCAGCGGCGGUGGCGCUGAGCGCUCCUCGGUGGGGACGCGGUGCUCAAGCUGGGAGCAGCGAGAACCCUUUGCGGAGGCUUCCCACGGAACAGCAGGCUCUCCUCUCCGAGGGGGGGCG
rnacentral:lncRNA from 10 species